CCUACGGGCGGCAGCAGUGGGGGAUAUUGCACAAUGGGGGGAACCCUGAUGCAGCGACGCCGCGUGGGUGAAGGAGCGUUUCGGCUCGUAAAGCCCUAUCAGCGGGGAAGAAGAAGGACGGUACAUGACUAAGAAGCCCCGGCUAACCACGUGCCAGCAGCCGCGGUAAUCCGGAGGGGGCAAGCGUUAUCCGGAUUGACGGGGUGUAAAGUGGGCGCAGGCGGAAGGGCAAGCCAGGAGUGAGAGCCCGGGGCUCAACCCGGGUACUGCACUGGGACAUGGCCGGCUGGAGUGAAGGAGAGGGAGGCGGAAUUCCUGGUGUAGCGGUGAAAUGCGUAGAUAUCAGGAGGAACACCGGUGGCGAAGGCGGCCUCCUGGACUGCGACUGACGUUGAGGCGCGAAAGCGUGGGGAGCAAACAGGAUUAGAUACCCCUGUAGUC
rnacentral:rRNA from 1 species